GUCAGUAACCCAGCCCUAAAGGGACUGGGCUUGCAAGAGUAAUCAAGCAAGCCGUACUGACCAGACCACCCUGAGUUUACUCUCAUGGUAGCCGUUAUUUGAGUCACGACACCCACCGAAUGCGUUCGCGCCAGCGUGCCGUCAGGCAUAGCCAGUUCCCUGCCCUGUC
rnacentral:sRNA from 25 species